rnacentral:rRNA from 1 species
AGAGUUUGAUCCUGGCUCAGGAUGAACGCCGGCGGUGUGCCUAAUACAUGCAAGUCGUACGCACUGGCCCAACUGAUUGAUGGUGCUUGCACCUGAUUGACGAUGGAUCACCAGUGAGUGGCGGACGGGUGAGUAACACGUAGGUAACCUGCCUCGGAGCGGGGGAUAACAUUUGGAAACAGAUGCUAAUACCGCAUAACAACAAAAGCCACAUGGCUUUUGUUUGAAAGAUGGCUUUGGCUAUCACUCUGGGAUGGACCUGCGGUGCAUUAGCUAGUUGGUAAGGUAACGGCUUACCAAGGCAAUGAUGCAUAGCCGAGUUGAGAGACUGAUCGGCCACAAUGGAACUGAGACACGGUCCAUACUCCUACGGGAGGCAGCAGUAGGGAAUCUUCCACAAUGGGCGCAAGCCUGAUGGAGCAACACCGCGUGAGUGAAGAAGGGUUUCGGCUCGUAAAGCUCUGUUGUUGGAGAAGAACGUGCGUGAGAGUAACUGUUCACGCAGUGACGGUAUCCAACCAGAAAGUCACGGCUAACUACGUGCCAGCAGCCGCGGUAAUACGUAGGUGGCAAGCGUUAUCCGGAUUUAUUGGGCGUAAAGCGAGCGCAGGCGGUUGCUUAGGUCUGAUGUGAAAGCCUUCGGCUUAACCGAAGAAGUGCAUCGGAAACCGGGCGACUUGAGUGCAGAAGAGGACAGUGGAACUCCAUGUGUAGCGGUGGAAUGCGUAGAUAUAUGGAAGAACACCAGUGGCGAAGGCGGCUGUCUGGUCUGCAACUGACGCUGAGGCUCGAAAGCAUGGGUAGCGAACAGGAUUAGAUACCCUGGUAGUCCAUGCCGUAAACGAUGAGUGCUAGGUGUUGGAGGGUUUCCGCCCUUCAGUGCCGGAGCUAACGCAUUAAGCACUCCGCCUGGGGAGUACGACCGCAAGGUUGAAACUCAAAGGAAUUGACGGGGGCCCGCACAAGCGGUGGAGCAUGUGGUUUAAUUCGAAGCUACGCGAAGAACCUUACCAGGUCUUGACAUCUUGCGCUAACCUUAGAGAUAAGGCGUUCCCUUCGGGGACGCAAUGACAGGUGGUGCAUGGUCGUCGUCAGCUCGUGUCGUGAGAUGUUGGGUUAAGUCCCGCAACGAGCGCAACCCUUGUUACUAGUUGCCAGCAUUAAGUUGGGCACUCUAGUGAGACUGCCGGUGACAAACCGGAGGAAGGUGGGGACGACGUCAGAUCAUCAUGCCCCUUAUGACCUGGGCUACACACGUGCUACAAUGGACGGUACAACGAGUCGCAAGCUCGCGAGAGUAAGCUAAUCUCUUAAGGCCGUUCUCAGUUCGGACUGUAGGCUGCAACUCGCCUACACGAAGUCGGAAUCGCUAGUAAUCGCGGAUCAGCAUGCCGCGGUGAAUACAUUCCCGGGCCUUGCACACACCGCCCGUCA